CAGUGAAGUGCUUCAAACAUAAUCAGUGACGCCAACUGAAGCAAGGUCCAGCCCGCUGUUUCACAGCAAGUAACCCGUCGAGUUUUCAAGCCACGUCCAUCACAUUUUCAUGGUUUCAGCUUGAACCAUAAAGGAACGAUGAAGUUAUUUGUGUUGCUUCUCCUCUGCCCGGGUUUAUUUGCAGCGAAACACUCACUGAAGUAUUUCAUCACUGCAUCUUCUGGACACCCGAACAUCUCAGAGUUUCAGGGUGUCGGGUUGGUUGAUGGCGUUGAGGCGGGUCACUGUGACAGCAGCAACAGGAUACUGGAACUGAGACAGGACUGGGUGAAGAAGAUUUUAGACAAAGACCCUCGGCAGUUACACCAUUACAGUUAUGUGUGUUUUGAAAACCUGCCAAACUUCUUCAGAGGCGAGAUUUCUAGAUUGAAGCAGGAAUUCGACCAAUGUGGAGGUGUCCACAUUUUACAGAGGAUAGAUGGCUGUGAAUGGGAUGACAACACUGGAGAGGUGACCGGCUUAGAACGUUAUGGUUAUAAUGGAGAAGACUUUAUUGAACUUGAUCUGAAGACACUGACAUGGAUCGCACUGAAACCAGAAGCUGCUUCUACCAAACUCAGAUGGGAUGCUGAGAUAAAUAUAAAUACCACUGUAGACUUCGUCACUAAGGUUUGUCCACUGUGGCUGAGCACAGUUUGGGGCGUUGCAAGAGGUUCCCUGCAGAGAACAGUUCUUCCCUCAGUGUCUCUCCUCCAGAAGUCUCCCUCCUCUCCAAUCAGCUGCCACGCUACAGGUUUCUACCCUCACAGAGCCAUGAUGUUCUGGAGGAAAGAUGGAGAGGAGAUCCAUGAGGGUGUGGAUUGUGGAGAGAUCCUCCCCAACGAUGAUGAGACUUUCCAGAUGAGUGUUGAUCUGAAUGUUUCAUCAGUCACACCUGAAGACUGGAGCAGAUAUGAGUGUGUGUUUCAGCUCUCUGGUGUCAAGGACGCCAUCAUCACCGCACUGAAUAGAACAGCGAUCAGGACCAACUAGAGAGAGAAGCCAUCAUCAUCAUCAUCAUCCUCGUUACGGUGGCGGGUGUUAAUGCUCCCGGCAGCUUCUCUGACCUUCUGACCUCUGUGAGAGCCUGAAUGAGCCUCACAGAGACAAUCUCAGCCGAGUCCAGUCAGAUAAGAUUGGGAAACAGAAGAUCGAAGGUUCUGGCAGUGCGCUGCAACUCUGCAUGAAUCUGUUUAAUUUGCCAGUAAAAGUCUUUGAAACUUAGGAAGUUGUGAUUGAUCGUCUCUAUAUCAAAGAAUCAAGUUAAAAUCUAAAAUCUGAAACAUCAAAUUAUGUCAAAUAUAACAUUUGAGAAUACCAAAAUUUUGUUAUGACUGUAUAUCCCAGCGAUGACAUGCAGUCACGUCUCUUCAGUGCAUCCAUCCCAGCUGCCUCGACUAAUAUCAAACAUCUCAAAAUAGUUCAGAGAUGAGACGUCAGAUCUUAAUUGUUGGUCAAAAUAUUCAAAGUAAAAUUGAUUCAUGGAUCAAAAACAUAAUCUGGUGGAAAUCUUGCUUUGGAUCCUUACCUGUGUUUCAUUCAUGUUUCUUUAAAAUAAAAA